GGGGGGGGGGGGGGGGGGGGGGGGGGGGUGGGGGGCGAGCGGGGAGGGGCGGCUGGGGGGGGGUGCUCGGGUGGCGAGCGGGUGAGGAACACGUGAGUGAACUGCCCUUGACGUUGGGAUAACUUCGGGAAACUGGGGCUAAUACCGGAUAGGAGCUCCUGCGGCAUGGGGGGGGUUGGAAAGGUUCGGCGGUUGGGGAUGGACUCGCGGCUUAUCAGCUUGGUGUUGGGGUAGUGGCUUACCAAGGCUUUGACGUGUAGCCGGCCUGAGAGGGUGACCGGCCACAUUGGGACUGAGAUACGGCCCAGACUCCUACGGGAGGCAGCAGUGGGGAAUAUUGCACAAUGGGCGGAAGCCUGAUGCAGCAACGCCGCGUGCGGGAUGACGGCCUUCGGGUUGUAAACCGCUUUCGCCUGUGACGAAGCGUGAGUGACGGUAAUGGGUAAAGAAGCACCGGCUAACUACGUG
rnacentral:rRNA from 1 species